CCCAGACUCCUACGGGAGGCAGCAGUGAGGAAUAUUGGUCAAUGGCCGAGAGGCUGAACCAGCCAAGUCGCGUGAGGGAAGACGGCCCUACGGGUUGUAAACCUCUUUUGUCGGGGAGCAAAGCGAACCACGUGUGGUUCAUUGAGAGUACCCGAAGAAAAAGCAUCGGCUAACUCCGUGCCAGCAGCCGCGGUAAUACGGAGGAUGCGAGCGUUAUCCGGAUUUAUUGGGUUUAAAGGGUGCGCAGGCGGAAUGUCAAGUCAGCGGUAAAAUUUCGGGGCUCAACCCCGUCGUGCCGUUGAAACUGGCUGUCUUGAGAUGUCGAGAGGUAUGCGGAAUGCGCAGUGUAGCGGUGAAAUGCUUAGAUAUUGCGCAGAACUCCGAUUGCGAAGGCAGCAUACCGGCGGCAAUCUGACGCUGAGGCACGAAAGCGUGGGUAUCGAACAGGAUUAGAUACCCGAGUAUG
rnacentral:rRNA from 1 species